CUGCUGCUUCCCUUCACACUCCCCUUUGGUGACUUUUCACCAUAACCCUCGGGUUCCCUUGAGGUUCUGCGACUGCUUGAUUUGCUUCUGACUGGUCAACUGUACUGUAACAAAAUGAUGCGUUAACCUCAGUAUCCUGCCACGUUUCCUUACGCUUUCAGCAUGGCAGUGCAGAGGAGGGGGCCUUUUAGCUGUUAAUGCCUUUCCAGUUAUUUUAUCAAAAGGAAAAAAAAAAAAAACUGUAAAUGUAGCAAGCUGUGUUUGGAAUGCUUAUUUUCUCCUGUGUCUCUUCUCUGAGACUGGUUAUGUCACUUCGUCACUGUUUUGAAAUGGAUGCUAGGCUCUUAAGAGAGAGGGUUGCUACACUUGAUGUUAAAUGCCUCACUGACUUUUUUUUUUUUUWAAGUUUCCAAUACAUGUAAUAGAUGAAUGACUUUUUUAAAAGAAAAUAUUCAUCUCAGUGGCAUGAAAUAGGUGGAUGGAGGGCAGUGUUUCAAUGAGUAGUUUACAGUUUCACUUUCUGCAGACACUUGAACAUAGGACCGUGUAUCUGUGACAAGCACAUCACAUUGGUGGGAAGCUCCAGAAAAGCAUGAAACGGCCUGGGCGUCAACCGACCCUUUUUCAGUUUGUGUAGAUGUCAGUGUGUUGAAGCGUGCUUUGAGUCUCGUCCGUAGGUUGGCCUGUGUCAGCGACAUUCUCUGCGGGAAGGGGUGCUUGGCAGCACUCCAUCCUUUGAGCCUCCCUGAUGUAGCAUUGUGUGCCUGCAGGGCAUGGCAGCCAGCCUGUGCCCCCUCCGCUGCCCCCAGCCUUGCCUGGUCCCCUUGGGCUUGGAAAUCUUGGAACUGUGACUUGGAAGUGGAUGCUGAGCUUUACCUCGGUAAGGCUGCAGUGGGUAGUCCCGGCCCCAAGGGUUUGCCCUGACCUGCUCAGAUCGUGUGGAUUAGACCUUGGCCUUUCAGUAGCUCACCUGGAACAAAGGGGGUGAUGGUUCGAUGUGCUGGCCCUUCUCAAACUGUGUGUGUCCCAACCUCAGCCUUCUGUUUCCCAAAACUAGAAAGUGUGUGCAACCUUCUUCAGCUGCAUUUAUUGUAGAGACAAACUUAAAAUGACUCAUCACAGACCAUUUAUCACUUGGGAGGAAAAUCUUGUUAAUAUGGCCCGCUGUACAUGAUCCAUCUUCUGUCGAUAGUACAUAAUCUUUGACCCAUGUGCUAGGAUCAUCAUCACAUAUAAAAGGAAAAGAGAAAAAUGUAAAAUACUUGAAUGAGAGCUUGUAUUAUAACAUUAAUAUUAUUCAGAGUAUCUGCUUUCUAGGCUGAUGUGAUUCAUUAUUCUAGUAAUGCUUUAGUCCUUUGUAAUUUGUGGUAAUUAUGCUUUUUCCUUUUUAAUACAAAAAAAUGUAUAAAAAUAAAAACUUCAAAAGACAAUGCA
rnacentral:lncRNA from 1 species